GACGAACGCUGGCGGCGUGCUUAACACAUGCAAGUCGAACGGAAAGGCCCUGCUUUUGUGGGGUGCUCGAGUGGCGAACGGGUGAGUAACACGUGAGUAACCUGCCCUUGACUUUGGGAUAACUUCAGGAAACUGGGGCUAAUACAGGAUAGGAGCUCCUGCUGCAUGGUGGGGGUUGGAAAGUUUCGGCGGUUGGGGCUGGACUCGCGGGUUAUCAGCUUGUUGGUGGGGUAGUGGCAUACCAAGGCUUUGACGGGUAGCCGGCCUGAGAGGGUGAACGGGCUCAAUAGUACUAAGAGACGCAGCAGACUGGAAUAUGGGACAAUGGGGGGAAGCAUUACACAGUGGUCCGGAGCCUGUUACAGCAGCGCUGGGUGCGUGAUGACGUCCUUCGGGGUGUGAACCGCAUUCGCCUAUUACGAAGCUUUAGUGACGGUAAUGGGUAAAGAAGCACCGGCUAACUUCGUG
rnacentral:rRNA from 1 species